GACGAACGCUGGCGGCGUGCCUAAUACAUGCAAGUCGAGCGCAGGAAAUCAUCUGAACCCUUCGGGGGGACGUUGAUGGAAUGAGCGGCGGACGGGUGAGUAACACGUAAAGAACCUGCCCUCAGGUCUGGGAUAACCACGAGAAAUCGGGGCUAAUACCGGAUGGGUCAUCGGACCGCGUGGUCCGAGGAUGAAAGGCGCUUCGGCGUCGGCUGGGGAUGGCUUUGCGGUGCAUUAGCUAGUUGGUGGGGUAAUGGCCCACCAAGGCGACGAUGCAUAGCCGAACUGAGAGGGUGAUCGGCCACACUGGGACUGAGACACGGCCCAGACUCCUACGGGAGGCAGCAGUAGGGAAUCUUCCACAAUGGACGAAAGUCUGAUGGAGCAACGCCGCGUGAACGAUGAAGGCCUUCGGGUCGUAAAGUUCUGUUGUAAGGGAAGAACAAGUGCCGCAGGCAAUGGCGGCACCUUGACGGUACCUUGCGAGAAAGCCACGGCUAACUACGUGCCAGCCGCCGCAGUAAUAC
rnacentral:rRNA from 1 species